UAGGGAAUUUUCGUCAAUGGGGGCAACCCUGAACGAGCAAUGCCGCGUGAGCGAAGAAGGUCUUCGGAUUGUAAAGCUCUGUUGGUAGUGAAGAAAGAUAGAGGUAGUAACUGGCCUUUAUUUGACGGUAAUUACUUAGAAAGUCACGGCUAACUACGUGCC
rnacentral:rRNA from 1 species